rnacentral:tRNA from 1 species
GGGAAUUUGGUUUAGUGGUAUGAUUCUCGCUUAGGAUGCGAGAGCUCCUGAGUUCAAUUCUUAGAAUGCCCC